rnacentral:misc_RNA from 1 species
GGUUUGCGAUGAACGAGUGUAUCGGUAUCUACGAUCAUUCGCUGGCGAUCAAGCUCGGCGUCCAUUUCUUUCUCUGGGGUGGUGCAAUUCAGUUCUUUGGAACAAAACGCCAUCAUGACAAGUGGUUGAAAGACACUGAAAACUACUUGAUUAAGGGUUGUUUUGCAAUGACUGAACUGGGACAUGGAAGUAACGUAAGAGGAAUCGAA